AUUCGCGCAAUGGAUAGCGCAUUGGACUUCUAAUUCAGAGGUCGUGGCUUCGAAUCCUACCUGGGAUG